GCCACAGUUCAGUGGCAGAGCAUCUGUCCUGCAAAGAGGAGAUCCUAGGUUCAAUCCCUGCAGGUAUCUCCA